GCUCGGGGGCUGCGGGCCACCCUGAAUGCCGACCGAAGACCCCAGCCAGGCCCUGAAGGCCCAGCGGCCGCCGCUGCCACCCCGAAGUCUACGGCAAUCUGGCCUCCUUGUGUGUGCGAGGAGGUGGCGCGCGGAGCAGGGAGGGGGCGAGGCCCCACUCCCGUGUGCCGCCCCGAGGGGGGACCUUUGGUAGGAGCUGCUCCGGCCACCUCACGUUUUUCGCGCUGUGGUCCCAGAGCCCAAAUAUCUUCAGUUCCUGCCCGGGGGAGUCGCCGAGUCCCUAAAGCUGAAGACCCAGAAGCGGGAGCGGGACCUGGAGCUUUGCCACAGAAACGCCGGACAAUUUCCUCCUGGACGCUCACGUUCCGAUUCAGGCCCCGGGGCCCCAUCGCCUGCCCGAGACCAGAUGCGCAUUUCUCACAUCAAUUUUGCUGAGAAAGAGAGCCCAGCGGCCCGGAGGCGGGACCCUCCUCUAGUGACAGCGGCCACUCGCCAGCCCAGCGACAACAAAAGCCCAGGGAGAAACCCCGCUCCAUUCGGAAAAGUGAAAGCUGCCUAUGGUCCUGCCCCAGCUGCCCUCAGGGUGCAGGGACCCCCAAGAGUCCUUGGGAGAUUGAUGUCUCUGUCCCCAGCUGGGUUCGAGGCCCAGAAUUUUUGUGACCAUCACCGGAAAUUCACCUCAACCCUCAGACACUUCGGGCUCACAUCUCCCUGUGCCCCUGUGAGCAAUUCAGCCUGCCCUUGGUGUCUUCGACCUAGUUUUCCUCCCUCUCCCAAGGGUAAGGCCCUCUGGCUAACCGAAACUUGGGAGCCCUCAGGCUCCAUCCUGCUGUCCGACUGAUACCACCCGAAGCUUAGCCAGUGCCCCAAGGAGCGGGGAAGGAAUUCCCUCGGGUCCUGGGUAGGAUGCAUGAGCCCCAGGGCAAGUCUCCCCCCAUGCAGCCUUUGCCCCACACAAAUUAAUUCUGCACCCGUGCAGCCCUCAAAGUAUGCACACGUUUUCUCCCAGCAUUGCACGCCUCACUUUUUACCCGGACCUGGCGAAGCCUGCUUCUCUCACCCCUGCACCACUUGGUAGCUACCGCCGGUUUGUGCAAGAAGCGCCUCCUCCCUCACUACUUACCCCCACAUCCCUCAUUCUCAUGCCUGCCCCGAAACUCCUCCAAAUCUCCAAGGCCUGGGCAGAGGGUGACUAGCAGCGGCGAGACACCCAGAACCUGCCACGGCUUCACUGAAUAGGGCCCACUCAUUCAGACACCGUCACCGCCGGUUCUAGUAAAAUGGCAAAGACUUUAUUUAUCGGAGAAAGAGGCCUUGGGUACAGUCUGGGGAGGAGAGGGCAGGGCAGGAGCAGGGGAGUGGCACGCAGGACCCACCCUCAUCUGGCCACCCUUUUCUGGCCAAGUCGAGCUAGGAGCAGGGCAUUGGAAACUGCAAGACAGACCCAGAGCUGCAGAGGAGGUGGGGCGAGGGCUUAAGUCGGCCUCCUCUCGAUCUCUGUCACAUGCAAAAAAAUUCUAAAAAGAGUAAAAAAUAAUUCUAGGGCUUUGGGUUCCGUUUUCGUUGGUUGGUUGGAUUUCCCCCUGUUUUGUCCCUAAGACUCGGACCCCUCGGUAGUCAGUCCAAGGAAACCGAGAGAGGGUGGGAAGGAAUCUUAAAAAUAGCGUUACUGGGCAUUUGGAGGCAGAAAUGGCACUGAGAACAGGCUUCUCUCGAGGGGGGAAGAAAACAUCUAUUUGAAACUUGCAAGUCAAGACCCAGUUGCCCCCCUCAGCCCCUUCCGACGCAGGGGGGGAAAUGCAGAAGGAAAUAAAAGAAGUCAACUGCAAUAGGCCUAGGGAAGUGAGGAGGGAGAAGGCCGGUGCAUUCGCCACAUGCAGAGAAAAAUCAGAACAGUCGGGGCGGCCCCCUCCUCCAGACCUCGGGGUUAAAUGUUCGUUACCCUCGAUUCUGCCUCGCCCUCAGCAAACCCGGCAGCAGCCUGAGAGCUUUGAAAUCAUGGAGAUCUCCGAAAUU
rnacentral:lncRNA from 1 species